ACUGAGAUUACUGGAAUUUCUGCUAAGGAUUUGGAAGGAGUUACCUCUUCUUUGGUAGAUUUACAGAAAUCUUUGAAGAAGCUGUUGUCACAUGAGACUAUUUUAGUAGGCCAUAGUUUACAUAAUGAUCUACAAGCACUAAAACUAAAUCAUGCAAGAGUGAUUGACACGUCAUUUAUCUUCAAAUAUCUGGAUGAAACUACUCAUAGUACACCUCUGAAUAAUCUCUGCAAG